GGAGAGAUGGCAGAGUGGUUGAAUGUACCGCCUUGGAAAGGCGGCAGGGGUGAAAGCCUCUCGAGGGUUCGAAUCCCUCUCUCUCCG
rnacentral:tRNA from 1 species